rnacentral:rRNA from 1 species
UAGGGAAUCUUCCGCAAUGGGCGAAAGCCUGACGGAGCAAUGCCGCGUGAGUGAUGAAGGUUUUCGGAUCGUAAAGCUCUGUUGCCAAGGGAAGAACGCUUGGGAGAGUAACUGCUCUCAAGGUGACGGUACCUGAGAAGAAAGCCCCGGCUAACUACGUG